rnacentral:rRNA from 1 species
UGGGGAAUAUUGCACAAUGGGCGCAAGCCUGAUGCAGCCAUGCCGCGUGUAUGAAGAAGGCCUUCGGGUUGUAAAGUACUUUCAGCGGGGAGGAAGGGAGUAAAGUUAAUACCUUUGCUCAUUGACGUUACCCGCAGAAGAAGCACCGGCUAACUCCGUGCCAGCAGCCGCGGUAAUACGGAGGGUGCAAGCGUUAAUCGGAAUUACUGGGCGUAAAGCGCACGCAGGCGGUUUGUUAAGUCAGAUGUGAAAUCCCCGGGCUCAACCUGGGAACUGCAUGUGAUACUGGCAAGCUUGAGUCUCGUAGAGGGGGGUAGAAUUCCAGGUGUAGCGGUGAAAUGCGUAGGGCUCUGGAGGAAUACCGGUGGCGAAGGCGGCCCCCUGGACGAAGACUGACGCUCAGGUGCGAAAGCGUGGGGAGCAAACAGG